UACAGAGGUGGCAAGCGUUGUUCGGAAUUACUGGGCGUAAAGGGCGCGUAGGCGGCCUCGCAAGUCCCGUGUGAAAUCCCUCGGCUCAACUGAGGAAUGGCACGGGAAACUGCGGGGCUUGAGUUCGGGAGAGGGAAGCGGAAUUCCGGGUGUAGCGGUGAAAUGCGUAGAUAUUGGGAGGAACACCAGUGGCGAAGGCGGCUACCUGGACCGGUUCUGACGCUGAGGCGCGAAAGCUAGGGGAGCAAACGGG
rnacentral:rRNA from 1 species